CACGUAGGGCGCAAGCGUUGUCCGGAAUUAUUGGGCGUAAAGAGCUCGUAGGCGGUCUGUCGCGUCCGUUGUGAAAACUCGAGGCUCAACCUCGGGCUUGCAGUGGAUACGGGCAGACUAGAGUGCGGUAGGGGAGACUGGAAUUCCUGGUGUAGCGGUGAAAUGCGCAGAUAUCAGGAGGAACACCGGUGGCGAAGGCGGGUCUCUGGGCCGUAACUGACGCUGAGGCGCGAAAGCGUGGGGAGCAAACAGG
rnacentral:rRNA from 1 species